rnacentral:rRNA from 1 species
AACACAUGCAAGUCGGACGGCAGCAGGUCCUUCGGGAUGCUGGCGAGUGGCGGACGGGUGAGUAAUGCGUAGGAACCUAUCCUUUUGUGGGGGACAACCCAGGGAAACUUGGGCUAAUACCGCAUAAGCCCUGAGGGGGAAAGCGGGGGAUCUUCGGACCUCGUGCUGAAGGAGGGGCCUACGUCCGAUUAGCUAGUUGGUGGGGUAAAGGCCUACCAAGGCGACGAUCGGUAGCUGGUCUGAGAGGACGACCAGCCACACUGGGACUGAGACACGGCCCAGACUCCUAUGGGAGGCAGCAGUGGGGAAUUUUUCGCAAUGGGGGCAACCCUGACGAAGCAAUGCCGCGUGGAUGAAGAAGGCCUUCGGGUUGUAAAGUCCUUUCGUGGGGGACGAAAAGGCGGAUCCGAAUACGGUCUGCUGUUGACGUGAACCCAAGAAGAAGCACCGGCUAACUCCGUGCCAGCAGCCGCGGUAAUACGGAGGGUGCGAGCGUUAAUCGGAAUUACUGGGCGUAAAGGGCGCGUAGGCGGUGGGUUACGUCUGCCGUGAAAUCCCCGGGCUCAACCUGGGAAUGGCGGUGGAAACGGGCUGACUGGAGUAUGGGAGAGGGUGAUGGAAUUCCAGGUGUAGCGGUGAAAUGCGUAGAGAUCUGGAGGAACACCAGUGGCGAAGGCGGUCACCUGGCCCAAUACUGACGCUGAGGCGCGAAAGCGUGGGGAGCAAACAGGAUUAGAUACCCUGGUAGUCCACGCCCUAAACGAUGGAUACUGGAUGUUUGGCGCCUUAGGUGCUGAGUGUCGUAGCUAACGCGAUAAGUAUCCCGCCUGGGAAGUACGGCCGCAAGGUUAAAACUCAAAGGAAUUGA